UUUUUUUUUUUUUCCUUCUUUUAUGGCUACACCUGUGGCACAUGGAAGUUCCCGGGCUAUGGACUAAGUUCUCGCCACAGCUGCAACCUACGUUACAACUGGGCCAACAGCAACAUCAGGCAAGGGAUCAAACUGGCACCUUAGCAGCGACCUGAGCUGCUGCAGUCAGAUUUUUAACCCACUGUGCCACAGUGGGAACUCCUGAAGUUUAAACUCCAUGACGUUUAAAUUUCAUGAGUUAAAUUUCUUAAUCUUCUAUUUUAUGGCUUCUGUUUAUCUUGUGAAGGGUUUUGUUGUUGUUUUUUGCCACACCCACAGCAUGUGAAAGUUCCCAGGCUAGGGGUUGAAUUGCAGCUGUAGACACCGGCCUACGCCAGAGCCACAGCAACGCAGAAUCCGAGCUGCGUCUGCAACCUACACCACAGCUCACGGCAACGCCAGAUCGUUAACCCACUGAGCAAGGGCAGGGACCGAACCUGCAACCUCAUGGUUCCUAGUCGGAUUCGUUAACCACUGCGCCACCACGGGAACUCCAAAAAUGUUUAGUAAAUCUGUACUAGAGUUUAUAAAAGUUUACAUCUGCAUCCCAGCUUGUGUGGUUCACAUGCUGCUCCCAGGCUGCCAGCCUGACUUCCCCGGCCAAAGAAAAUGAUCAGAUAACACUGUUCUCAAGUAUCGAAGCACUUUAUGCACAGACAUUGUUUGGGCUAAUACAUUAUCUCCCAAAGUGUUCCUAUGGUGCAAUUGGUGGUAUGGAGGAUGACUUCUGUGAUACAGAAAUAAAAUGAUUUUUCUUGACUAAUUGUGUUUUUAUUUUUAUGCCUUUUUUUUUUUUAAAGGGCCAUACCCUGUGGCACAUGGAAGUUCUCAGAGCUACAGCUGCCAGCCUACACCACAGCCACAGCAAUGUAGGAUCUGAGCUGCAUCUGUGACCUACACCACAUCUCAUGGCAACUCGGGAUCCCUGACCCACUGGGCAAGGUCAGGGAUCGAACCCACAUCCUCGUGGAUCCUAGCUGGGUUUGAUAACCGCCGAAGCCACGAAAGGAACUCCCAACUAAUUGCGUUUUUAUUUUAACUUGUUAAAAAAACUAUCACUAGUCAGGAGUUCCCGUAGUGGCUCAGAGGUUAAUGAACCCAACUGGCAUCCAUGAGGACGCAGGUUGGAUCCCUGGCCUUGCUCAGUAGGUUAAGGAUCUGGUGUUGCCCUGAGCUGUGGUGUAAGUCCUGGUCAGGACUCAGAUCCAGUAUUGCUGUGGCUGUGGUGCAGGCCUACAGCUACAACUCCGACUGAACCCCUAGCCUGGGAAUCUCCAUAUGCCAGCAUUGUGGCCCUAAAAAGACAAAACUAUCACUAGUCCAUGAAACCCAUGGUUUCCAUGGUUUCAUCUACAUUGCUUAGAUCAAGACUAAACCACUUAAAAUUAAAGAAAAAAGGGAGGGGGCGGGGAGCCGCGUCUGGGGCGUGUGGAAGUUGCCCUGCCAGAGAAGAACCCCCGGCCAGAGCAGCGACCUGAGAAACUGCAGUGACAACGCUGAGCCACAAGGGAACUCCAAAAUUAAAUCAAUUU
rnacentral:lncRNA from 1 species